ACGAACGCUGGCGGCGUGCCUAAUACAUGCAAGUCGAACGAAACUUUCUUACACCGAAUGCUUGCAUUCACCGUAAGAAGUUGAGUGGCGGACGGGUGAGUAACACGUGGGUAACCUGCCUAAAAGAAGGGGAUAACACUUGGAAACAGGUGCUAAUACCGUAUAUCUCUAAGGAUCGCAUGAUCCUUAGAUGAAAGAUGGUUCUGCUAUCGCUUUUAGAUGGACCCGCGGCGUAUUAACUAGUUGGUGGGGUAACGGCCUACCAAGGUGAUGAUACGUAGCCGAACUGAGAGGUUGAUCGGCCACAUUGGGACUGAGACACGGCCCAAACUCCUACGGGAGGCAGCAGUAGGGAAUCUUCCACAAUGGACGCAAGUCUGAUGGAGCAACGCCGCGUGAGUGAAGAAGGUCUUCGGAUCGUAAAACUCUGUUGUUAGAGAAGAACACGAGUGAGAGUAACUGUUCAUUCGAUGACGGUAUCUAACCAGCAAGUCACGGCUAACUACGUGCCAGCAGCCGCGGUAAUACGUAGGUGGCAAGCGUUGUCCGGAUUUAUUGGGCGUAAAGGGAACGCAGGCGGUCUUUUAAGUCUGAUGUGAAAGCCUUCGGCUUAACCGGAGUAGUGCAUUGGAAACUGGAAGACUUGAGUGCAGAAGAGGAGAGUGGAACUCCAUGUGUAGCGGUGAAAUGCGUAGAUAUAUGGAAGAACACCAGUGGCGAAAGCGGCUCUCUGGUCUGUAACUGACGCUGGGGUUCGAAGGCGUGGGUAGCAAACAGGAUUAGAUACCCUGGUAGUCCACGCCGUAAACGAUGAAUGCUAGGUGUUGGAGGGUUUCCGCCCUUCAGUGCCGCAGCUAACGCAAUAAGCAUUCCGCCUGGGGAGUACGACCGCAAGGUUGAAACUCAAAGGAAUUGACGGGGGCCCGCACAAGCAGUGGAGUAUGUGGUUUAAUUCGAAGCAACGCGAAGAACCUUACCAGGUCUUGACAUCCUUUGACCACCUAAGAGAUUAGGCUUUCCCUUCGGGGACAAAGUGACAGGUGGUGCAUGGCUGUCGUCAGCUCGUGUCGUGAGAUGUUGGGUUAAGUCCCGCAACGAGCGCAACCCUUGUUGUCAGUUGCCAGCAUUAAGUUGGGCACUCUGGCGAGACUGCCGGUGACAAACCGGAGGAAGGUGGGGACGACGUCAAGUCAUCAUGCCCCUUAUGACCUGGGCUACACACGUGCUACAAUGGACGGUACAACGAGUCGCGAGACCGCGAGGUUUAGCUAAUCUCUUAAAGCCGUUCUCAGUUCGGAUUGUAGGCUGCAACUCGCCUACAUGAAGUCGGAAUCGCUAGUAAUCGCGAAUCAGCAUGUCGCGGUGAAUACGUUCCCGGGCCUUGUACACACCGCCCGUCACACCAUGAGAGUUUGUAACACCCAAAGCCGGUGGGGUAACCGCAAGGAGCCAGCCGUCUAAGGUGGGACAGAUGAUUGGGGUG
rnacentral:rRNA from 1 species